rnacentral:rRNA from 1 species
UACGAAGGGGGCUAGCGUUGCCUCGGAAUCACUGGGCGUAAAGCGCACGUAGGCGGCUUUCUAAGUCAGGGGUGAAAUCCUGGAGCUCAACUCCAGAACUGCCUUUGAUACUGGAGAGCUUGAGUCCGGAAGAGGCGAGUGGAACUCCUGGUGUAGCGGUGGAAUGCGCAGAUAUCAGGAAGAACACCAACGGCGAAGGCAGCUCGCUGGGACGGUACUGACGCUGAGACGCGAAAGCGUGGGGAGCGAACAGG